rnacentral:misc_RNA from 1 species
GAUGAAGAACGUAGCGAAAUGCGAUAAGUAGUGUGAAUUGCAGAAUUCAGUGAAUCAUCGAAUCUUUGAACGCACAUUGCGCCCCUUGGUAUUCCAUGGGGCAUGCCUGUUCGAGCGUCAUUUGUACCUUCAAGCUUUGCUUGGUGUUGGGUGUUUGUCCUCCCCUUUUGUGUUUGGACUCGCCUUAAAACAAUUGGCAGCCAGUGUUUUGGUAUAGAAGCGCAGCACAAGUCGCGAUUCUAGCUAAGUAACGCUGACAUCCAGAAGUCUUUUUUAACUUUUGACCUCGGAUCAGGUAGGGAUACCCGCUGAACUUAAGCAUAUCAAUAAGCGGAGGA